UACAGAGGGUGCAAGCGUUAAUCGGAAUUACUGGGCGUAAAGCGUGCGUAGUCGGUUAUCUAAGUCGGGUGUGAAAUCCCCCGGGCUCAACCUGGGAAUUGCAUUCGAUACUGGAUAGCUAGAGUUCGGCAGAGGGAAGCGGAAUUUCGGGUGUAGCGGUGAAAUUCGUAGAUAUUCGCAAGAACACCAGUGGCGAAGGCGGCUGUCUGGUCCGGUUCUGACGCUGAGGCGCGAAAGCGUGGGGAGCAAACAGG
rnacentral:rRNA from 1 species